GCCCCGGUUGCUUAGCCUGGUAGAGCACCGGACUUGUAAUCCGGCGGUCGCGGGUUCAAAUCCCGCCCGGGGCUCCA
rnacentral:tRNA from 1 species